CCAAUAGCGUAUAUUAAAGUUGUUGCAGUUAAAAAGCUCGUAGUUGAAUUUCGGGAUUGACGUGAUGGUCAUGCCUUAAGGGGUAUGAACUGUCGCUGUUGAUUUCUCACCUUCUGGAGAAACUUGAUGUCCUUUAUUGGGUGUCUUGCGGAUCCAGGACCUUUACCUUGAAAAAAUUAGAGUGUUUAAAGCAGGCAUUUUUGCUCGAAUACAUUAGCAUGGAAUAAUAGAAUAGGACGGCAUGGUUCUAUUUUGUUGGUUUCUAGGAUCACCGUAAUGAUUAAUAGGGAUAGUUGGGGGCAUUAGUAUUCAAUUGUCAGAGGUGAAAUUCUUGGAUUUAUUGAAGACUAACUACUGCGAAAGCAUUUGCCAAGGAUGUUUUCAUUAAUCAAGAACGAAAGUUAGGGGAUCGAAGACGAUCAGAUACCGUCGUAGUCUUAACCAUAAACUAUGCCGACUAGGAAUCAGACGAUGUUAAUUUUUUAAUGACUCGUUUGGCACCUUACG
rnacentral:misc_RNA from 1 species